rnacentral:sRNA from 1 species
CGGGCUGGUAAAUAGUCGCAUACCUGAGACUGUUUUGCGACUAUUGGUUUUCGUCGUUAAGUAGCGACUACUUUGCGUUCAUGUUAGCGGCAGUCGUUAGUUAGUCGCAAAGGGAUCACAAAAAUGUCGGUUUAUUUUGCGACUGAUAGUUUAGUCACAACAAAGAGUCCCAAAAUGCAAGUUUUCUUGUAGUUAUCAUGUUAACAAAAACAAAAUCAACACAUGAAUUUUUCGUAAACUGACUCAUAAAGUACUUAAAUCUUCCUUCUCUCAUCAAAAUAGGACUCAUAAACACAACAGUAGACCCUAUUGAUAAUAAGUUUUUAGUCAAUUAUCCUAAAACACCAAUCAUGUCGUUGUAGUAUUUUAGGUGUCAAUCCAAAUGAGUGUGAUGCAAACAGAUGAGAUGUGAUCAGAAGUCACUAAGUCAAGCCAAGCAAUAACAGAUUUGGGGUUUCUAGCAGUCCUAAGUGAACAUGCAGAAAACAGAAACAAUAACAGACUUACUAAAAUCACUCGACCACAACAGGCUGAUGCCAGAAGUAGGAUGUGGUCGAGUAUUAGGCAGGAUAUGAAACAGAUAUACUCGACUGCACAGUCUGUUGCCAGACACUGGGUGUGGUCGAGUAUACUGGUCGAGUAACAGACAGGAAAUGAGACAACUGGACUCGACUGCACAGUCUGUUGCUAGACACUGGGUGUGGUCGAGUAAGUUGGUCGAGUAAUUGCAAAAACUAAGAAACAAGCAAUGAGAACGAUUAAGCGAUAACGAUAAAACAGAGAAAUCAAAUAGACGAGAAAUUCCUAAGGAUGGGGUAAUCGAAUAGAGUGGUAUCCUAGCCUAUCCGAAUGGUUAACAAGCGCAAUCAAGCUAUCCCUAGACAACAGGUUCGACAACAGAUCAAUUCACUCCCGUGAUAGAAAUCCUCAAGCAAAGCUAGCCCAGACUAAUUCCCAUUAACGGAAUAUAACUAUGCAGGCAAUAAAAACAGACUGAUAAAGUCAAUAAACGCUCUAAACGGCCAAUCCCUUGGGAUAGAGACGAAUAUCUCAGGAACUAGUGGAUCAAGCAUUCCAUCGAACACCUUCUGGGUGCGGAAAUGCUUGGGAUCGAAUUCCAGUUGAUUAGAAAGAAAUAAGCAGUAAACACAACUAGUCCUGAAGGAAUUCAAUCAAUUCUAAAACUUAACCAUUCUACAGACUACGGAUUCCACAACUACUCUAUCCCAUCCCUAAGAAUUCUAAGUCACUACUCAGACAACAUGCUCAAAGACAUAAACGCAGAUAAAUGAUAAUAUUGCAUAAGUAAAGAAAUAAAGAGUAGAAAAACAAGAUGACAGAUGAAAUCAAAUGAGGAAUCUGAAUAAUUUGGAAAAAUCUCGAAUUACAGGUUGCAGAAGCAAAAGCGGCGCAGCAGAGUAAAACAGAAAAUAAAACUGAAGCAAAAACUCAAUGUCGACUAGAUGUCUCAGGACAGAACCCUAAGACAUCUAUUUAUACAAAACGAAAUAAAAUGAUAGUAGACGGGCCAAUAACCUAAUCGCCCGGCCCAUAGAAUGAUAAUGGGCCAAGAUGGGCUUCGUGAUCCGAUGGAGGUCCAGGCCGCUUCCAAACACUUUGUCUUCUCCUCUUCUCUUCCUUGUGCUCAGCUUGUCUGGUUGAGUGCGAAUUUGAGUAGACUGUGAAGACGUGAUCGAGUGUCCGGUCGAGUGAUGGUGAUGGUGGUGAGUGAUGAUACUCGACCAGGGGGUCGAGUAACUUGGUAGAGUGAAUGGCCGAGUGUGGUCAGGUGGUGUGGCGAAGUGAUACUCGACCAGGGGGUCGAGUGGCGUCAUCGAGUGGCCUGAGCUGAGUAGAUGGGAAGAAUGGCUCCAAAGUCACUCGACCUGGGGGUCAAGUAUGGUGCUGGAUGCACACGACCUGGUGGUCGAGUAUGUCUUCUGGUUCUGGCUCGUUUCUUCCAAUUUGCUCGCAAACAGCUCCAAAUCACCUGAAAACAACUCAGAAAUGCAAUAUGUAUGCAAAGCUAUCCUAAUCAUGCAAAGUAUGCAAGAAUGAUGAGAAAUGAUAUGAAACAGUGAUGAAUGAUACGAAACUGGACUCAAAACGAUGAUGAAUGGACACUGAAAACAUGCAAAUUAUAGACAUAUCACCU